rnacentral:lncRNA from 10 species
CAUUGCACUCCAGCCUGGGCAACAAGAGCAAAACUCCAUGUCAGAAAGUAAAACAAGAAGAUAACAUUAUUGUCUGCAGAAAAUUCUAAGCUACAAACUGGUACUAAAACGAAUAAGUAAGUUUACCAAAGCCACAGGGUACAAAGCCAAAAAAAGGUCAAUUCUAUUUGUGUGCUAACCAUCAAUUAGAAGUUGAAAUUAUGAAAACAGUACCACUUACAAAGAGAAUUUAAAAACCACGAAAUACUAGGGGUAAAUUUAUCAGAAUUUGCAUGAGAUCUGUACACAAAAAACGAUUAUACAUCUCUCAGUAUAUUAAGUGAGACUUAACAAGGCCCAAGUAAUCGAUUUAAUUUUAAUUUGAUUUUUUAAAUUUUCUCUUUUUUUUUUUUUUUUUUUUUAGAAAUUGACAAGCUGCCAGGUGCAGUGGCUCAUGCUUGUACUGCCAGCACUUUGGAAGGCCAAGACAUAUGUUGAAAUGGAAUCUUCAGUGUUGGAGAUGGGGCCUGCUGGGAGAUGUUUUGGUCAUGGGGUGGAUUCCUCGGGGCUUGGUGCUGUCCUUGCAAUGGUGAGUAUUCGUGAGAUCUGGUUAAGUGGGAGCCUCCCCUCCCACUCUCUCUUGCUCCCACUUCUGCCGUGUGAGACCCCUGCUCCCCCUUUGCCUUCCACCGUUAUUGGAAGCUUCCGGAUGCCAUGCUUCCUUUACAGCCUGCAGAACCAUAAGCCAAUUAAACCUCUUUUUAA